CGCAUGGUCUUCUGGGAAGCUUUCGCGGUAUGGGAUGGGGUCGCGUCCUAUCAGCUUGACGGCGGGGUAACGGCCCACCGUGGCUUCGACGGGUAGCCGGCCUGAGAGGGCGACCGGCCACAUUGGGACUGAGAUACGGCCCAGACUCCUACGGGAGGCAGCAGUGGGGAAUAUUGCACAAUGGGCGCAAGCCUGAUGCAGCGACGCCGCGUGAGGGAUGGAGGCCUUCGGGUUGUAAACCUCUUUUAUCGGGGAGCAAGCGAGAGUGAGUUUACCCGUUGAAUAAGCACCGGCUAACUACGUGCCAGCAGCCGCGGUAAUACGUAGGGUGCAAGCGUUAUCCGGAAUUAUUGGGCGUAAAGGGCUCGUAGGCGGUUCGUCGCGUCCGGUGUGAAAGUCCAUCGCUUAACGGUGGAUCCGCGCCGGGUACGGGCGGGCUUGAGUGCGGUAGGGGAGACUGGAAUUCCCGGUGUAACGGUGGAAUGUGUAGAUAUCG
rnacentral:rRNA from 1 species